GAUGAACGCUGGCGGCGUGCCUAAUACAUGCAAGUCGAGCGAACGGACGAGAAUCUUGCUUCUCUGAUGUUAGCGGCGGACGGGUGAGUAACACGUGUAUAACCUACCUAUAAGACUGGGAUAACUUCGGGAAACCGGAGCUAAUACCGGAUGAUAUUUUGAACCGCAGGGUUCAAAAGUGAAAGACGGUCUUGCUGUCACUUAUAGAUGGAUCCGCGCUGCAUUGGCUAGUUGGGAAGGUAACGGCUUACCAAGGCAACGAUGCAUAGCCGACCUGAGGGUGUGAUCGGCCACCAUGGAACUGAGACACGGUCCAGACUCCUACGGGAGGCAGCAGUAGGGAAUCUUCCGCAAUGGGCGGAAGCCUGACGGAGCAACGCCGCGUGAGAUAUGAAGGUCUUCGGAUCGUAAAAAUCUGUUAUUAGGGAAGAACAUAUGUGUAAGUAACUGUGCACAUCUUGACGGUACCUAAUCAGAAAGCCACGGCUAACUACGUG
rnacentral:rRNA from 1 species